rnacentral:sRNA from 1 species
UAGUGGGAGCUAUAGUAAUGGAGGCUAUGUGGGAAACGGGCUGGGAAUUGCUUCCAAUUCAGCAGGGUCCAAUGCA